rnacentral:rRNA from 1 species
GACGAACGCUGGCGGCGUGCCUAACACAUGCAAGUCGAGCUGGGACCUUCGGGUCCCGAUGCUAGUGGCGCACGGGUGAGUAACGCGUGGGAACGAACCCUUUUGUACGGAAUACACCAGGGAAACUUGCGCUAAUACCGUAUGGCUACUUCGGGAGAAAGAUUUAUCGCGAAAGGAACGGCCCGCGUCUGAUUAGGUAGUUGGUGAGGUAACGGCUCACCAAGCCAACGAUCAGUAGCUGGGCUGAGAGGAUGAUCAGUCACACUGGGACUGAGACACGGCCCAGACUCCUACGGGAGGCAGCAGUGGGGAAUAUUGGACAAUGGGGGCAACCCUGAUCCAGCCAUGCCGCGUGAGUGAAGAAGGCCUUCGGGUUGCAAAGCUCUCUCGGCGGUGACGAUGAUGACGGUACCCGCAUAAGAAGCCCCGGCAAACUUCGUGCCAGCCGCCGCAGUAAGAC